AUACGUAGGGGGCGAGCGUUGUCCGGAAUGAUUGGGCGUAAAGGGCGCGUAGGCGGCCCGGUAAGUCUGGAGUGAAAGUCCUGUUUUUAAGAUGGGAAUUGCUUUGGAUACUGUCGGGCUUGAGUGCAGGAGAGGUAAGUGGAAUUCCCAGUGUAGCGGUGAAAUGCGUAGAGAUUGGGAGGAACACCAGUGGCGAAGGCGACUUACUGGACUGUAACUGACGCUGAGGCGCGAAAGUGUGGGGAGCAAACAGGAUUAGAUACCCUGGUAGUCCACACUGUAAACGAUGAAUACUGGGUGUGCGGGGACUGACCCCCUGCGUGCCGGCGUUAACACAAUAAGUAUUCCACCUGGGGAGUACGAUCGCAAGGUUGAAACUCAAAUGAAUUGACGGGG
rnacentral:rRNA from 1 species